UGCUACGUCUGAAAAGUUAAGAAUU
rnacentral:piRNA from 1 species